UAGAGGAAGUAAAAGUCGUAACAAGGUUUCCGUAGGUGAACCUGCGGAAGGAUCAUUACCGAGCAAGGGUUCCUCUCCCGGGCCCGACCCUCCAUCCCAUGCGUACCGACCCCACCGUUGCUUUGACGGGCCGCGGGGCCUCUUUGUAGGGCCUCCCGCCGGCCUCGGCGGACGAGCGCCCGUCAAGGACCACCGAUCAACCCUUUGUAAUCGUGUCGUCCGAGCCAUGACAAAAUCAAUCAAAACUUUCAACAACGGAUCUCUUGGUUCUGGCAUCGAUGAAGAACGCAGCGAAAUGCGAUAAGUAAUGUGAAUUGCAGAAUUCAGUGAAUCAUCGAAUCUUUGAACGCACAUUGCGCCCCCUGGCAUUCCGGGGGGCAUGCCUGUUCGAGCGUCAUUACACCCCUCGAGCCUGGCUCGGUGAUGGGGGCCGUCCCACGGGGCGCCCCCAAAAAGCAGCGCGCGAAGCCUCCGGACCGCCCGGCGAAGUACAACCUUUCGUUCCGUCGCGGCGUCCGGAGACUCCCGCCGGACAACCCGCUUUAACGCACCCACGAUUGACCUCGGAUCAGGUAGGGAUACCCGCUGAACUUAAGCAUAUCAAUA
rnacentral:rRNA from 1 species